AGAAUGAACGCUGGCGGCAUGCCUAACACAUGCAAGUCGAACGAAGGCUUCGGCCUUAGUGGCGCACGGGUGCGUAACGCGUGGGAAUCUGCCCUUAGGUUCGGAAUAACAGUUGGAAACGACUGCUAAUACCGGAUGAUGACGUAAGUCCAAAGAUUUAUCGCCUGAGGAUGAGCCCGCGUAGGAUUAGCUAGUUGGUGGGGUAAAGGCCUACCAAGGCGACGAUCCUUAGCUGGUCUGAGAGGAUGAUCAGCCACACUGGGACUGAGACACGGCCCAGACUCCUACGGGAGGCAGCAGUGGGGAAUAUUGGACAAUGGGCGAAAGCCUGAUCCAGCAAUGCCGCGUGAGGGAUGACGGCCUUCGGGUUGUAACCUCUUCUAGCAGGGACGAAGCGAAAGUGACGGUACCUGCAGAAGAAGCACCGGCCGAACUACGCGCCAGCACGCCGC
rnacentral:rRNA from 1 species